GAUGAACGCUAGCGGCAGGCUUAACACAUGCAAGUCGAGGGGUAGAGGUUGCUUGCAACCUUGAGACCGGCGAACGGGUGCGUAACGCGUAUGCAACCUACCUUUUACAGAGGGAUAGCCAAGAGAAAUUUGGAUUAAUACCUCAUAGUAUAUAACCUUCGAAUGUUGGUUUUAUUAAAGUUCCAACGGUAAAAGAUGGGCAUGCGUUCUAUUAGCUAGAUGGUAAGGUAACGGCUUACCAUGGCAACGAUAGGUAGGGGUCCUGAGAGGGAGAUCCCCCACACUGGUACUGAGACACGGACCAGACUCCUACGGGAGGCAGCAGUGAGGAAUAUUGGACAAUGGGCGCAAGCCUGAUCCAGCCAUGCCGCGUGCAGGAAGAAGCAUCUAUGGUGUGUAAACUGCUUUUGUACAGGAAGAAACACCCCGACGUGUCGGGGCUUGACGGUACUGUAAGAAUAAGGAUCGGCUAACUCCGUGCCAGCCGCCGCCGUAA
rnacentral:rRNA from 1 species